rnacentral:lncRNA from 1 species
UGUGGCUCUUCUCAUUUUGCAUGGGCCCUGAAAAAUAGGCAUACUUAUUCAAAAAUUCUUCUUAGAAGGCCUACCUCCAAAUAGAGACACAAGUUUGGUAUUAGCUAUUUUGUUGCUGUACACAAUACCCAACACCAACAAUUUAAAGGAGGAGAGGUUUAUUCGGAUCACAGUUUCCGGUGUUUUCCAGCGGAUUUACUCUAUGAUGCUGGCUUCAGGGCAGAAACGGCAUGAUGGAAGGAUGUGGCUGAGGAAGGCUGCUCUGUCCCGGCCCGCGGGGAUCGAACUCAGGACAUUGCGCUUACAAGGCAGGCGCCAUAACCAUUGAGCUAAAUCCCCGGCCCAAGACUACUUUUGAAUGCACCAAAAGCUUCUGACUCACCAUGGCAACAUCUUCCUGCUGAAAGAUAAGAAUCUUGCCUCUAAGAAGUAGAAAAACUUGCAAGAGAAACCAACAGUAAGAUUUCUGGCCUGAGGCUCAGCAAACUUUUCUUUUCAUUAGCCCUCUCCUCCUCUGUAUUCAUUCCACAGACACUGAAUCUCCUGUGAGCCAUCUGGGGUCACACUAUGAACAAUACACAGUGAAAUCCCUGCCUUGUGGCCCUUCCAUCCUAUUAGGCAGAGACAGGCAGGAUUCAAAACAGCCUAAAGGUAACCUGUCUACAAUUUAUUUCCUGCACAUCCUCAUGUUUGGGCUAUGGUGAAGUGGAGAGGCCAACAACAGACCGCAGCAAUUUUGCUAGUCUCAGUUCUGCCAUCUACAUAUUGUGGGUUUAAGGCAGACCUUCAUCCAAUAUGAGCCUCAGUUUCCUCAUCUAUAAAAUGGGGAGGGAUUGGAUUAAAUGACUUAUUAAGGGAAAGGGUCCUUUUAGGCUCUUUUAUUUUUCAUGUUUUU